AGGGGUUGUUUUGAUGAAUGCAUAAAUUUAAGGCGAAAACUGAAAUUAGUCCAAACUUAUUGUCAUUUACAGAAAAUAUGGAUCUUUAUUGGCCAAUUGAAAUUAUUAAAUGUUGUCGGAAAAUAAAACAUGUAAUAAUGCUUGCUAGAACGGAAAAUCUUUCUUCGCCUUUGUCUUUAUCUCGCCGUCGACGAUAUGGUGGCGAUCACUUCUCCGAUGAUAAAGAAGCACCAUAGCUUCAACCUAUGCAAAGAAUUUCAUAAAAAUGUAACAGUUGAAGAAACGAGAACCAGCGUGUGGAGAAGCCUCUUUUAAAAUCUAAAAACAAUUCAAGGCGCAGAUGGUCGUCCCUUUCUUAUGAAUGUGGUCUCUUCUUUUAUAGCAUAAAGAUUAUAUCUAAGACAGUAACCAAUGUGGUUUCUUCACUCCACCACGUUGCAAAUGAAGAAGGUAAGCUCUUUAGCUGCUGCCACACAGCACCACAUUAUUGUCUUUGUCUAGCACACUUUGUUUGCAUAUGUUUGUAAUGUUUCGUAUUCUUUAGCUUUUGGUUGAUGCUUUUCAUUCA